rnacentral:rRNA from 1 species
CUACGGAGGGUGCAAGCGUUAUUCGGAAUCACUGGGCGUAAAGGACGCGUAGGCGGGUUGGCAAGUCAGAUGUGAAAUCCUACAGCUUAACUGUAGAACUGCAUUUGAAACUGCUAACCUAGAGUAUGGGAGGGGGAGAUGGAAUUAGUGGUGUAGGGGUAAAAUCCGUAGAUAUCACUAGGAAUACCGAAAGCGAAGGCGAUCUCCUGGAACAUAACUGACGCUAAGGCGUGAAAGCGUGGGGAGCAAACGGGAUUAGAAACCCUAGUAGUCC